UUCUUUAAUAAAUUCUUUUUAAGCAGGUAGCUAUUUAAUGUAACUCUUUGGGGUUGGAGAGAUGUUUUUUUACUUCAGUGUCCUCCUCUGAAAGUGAACCCCAAUGUUUCCUAUUCCCAUAGUAAGUUUCUAUAGUUGGCUUCUUUCUCCUUUGUCAAUUUUUUUUUUUUUUUUUUUUAAUGAGAACUUAAUUAGUGUAACCAUCUCUAGUCCUGAAGUUGGGGAGAUGAUGCCUCUGGCUUCCCAUCAGUUCUUCCCUCUGGUCUGGAAUCCCCAACCAAGACAUCCACCCUCCUAUAAGUUCCUGCAGCCAGCUUUCCUUCCAGGACUGCAUCUCAGCAGGGUCUGGCUUUAUCAGGUGAGGUUCCCUCAAUCCUUGAGGUAGAACUACCCCCACUCCUCAGGGUGUCUGGGAGGUGAAAGUUCCAGUUGUUUGAACUGAGGUGACUUCCAAACCGAGCUAGUCCCAGGGCUCCCCCUUUGCUAUUUUAGUGGAGCUAGCCUGGAGGUGAUUACACUUCAUACCAAUUACCUCUUUCCUGGACUUUUUUUUUGGGGGGAGGGAUAUGGGGGGGUCCUCUCUGGUUGUCUCUGGAAGGCCCCUGUUAUACCUCUAGUUUUAUUUUUCACCAGUGUUCAUCUAUAGGUGUAAUUUUGUUUUGUAUUUAGGGAGAAUCUGGAGAGCUUGGAAUUUUCCAAUCUGUUCCACCAUCUACCCAGAAUCCUAACUAUUCCAAAUGACUCUUGAGGGUUUUGAUGAAAUCUUGUAUUUGGGAGCUUGCCUUCCCUCUAUCUCCUACUUUCUCAAAGAAAAAAAAAAUGCCUCUUUGUCCUCUUAGUUCCUGCUAAAUAUAAGCUGCAAAAAGGAGGACUAGAUUUGCUACCAUUAUAAUUAUCCAUCGCAGGAAAAUGAUGGCUUCUCACUAAGUGUAGUUUGGAUAAUUUUUUACUUGAGAGAAUGCUGUGGACAGAAAUAAUCAUGUACAAUAGAAACAUAAAAUAAUGUUGGAAACAAUUGGUGGCCAGUCUCAUAACCCAACAUAUUAAUAGUCCCUUUUUACCACGUACCACUCAAGAAGAAUACUCCUAGGCAUAGGGAGCUCAGUACCUUAUGGGACUGUUCCACUUGCAAAUAGUAAGUUCUCCCUUAUAUUGAGCUAAAAACAGUAUGUCUAUAACUUUCAUUGAUUUUAUUUUGCUCUUGGGAAUUGUGCAGAGCUAGUCUAAUUUCCUUUGUGUAGUAAUUAUUUAAAUAUUUAUGGAGUUAUGUCUUCGUCAAUUUUAGAUUCUUUUUAUUAGGCUAAACAUCCUCAAUUUCUUCAAGUGAACUCAAGAUAGUUUUAAGUUGUUGCCUUCAUGGUUCUUUCUGCCUUCCAUUUUGUCAAAUUUUAAUACCUGUUUGUUGUUUUGUUUUAUUUUUUUAAUGAAAUUUGAGCUACAUUGCAUUUUAAUUAAGAAGCAGCCAAUGCAGCCCUUUUCAUAUGUCUAGAAACUGGAGAUUGAAUGGAUGCCCAUUAAUAGGAGAAUGGCUGAGUAAAUUAUGCUGUCUAAUGUUUUGGAAUAUUAUUGUUCUGUAAGAAAUGACCAGCAGGAUGAUUUCAGAAAGGCUUGGAGAGACUUACAUGAACUGAUGCUGAGUGAAAUGAGCAAAACCAGGAGAUCAUUAUACACAGCAGCAACAAUACUGUAUGAUGAUUUCUGCAUUUCUGAUGGACGUGGCUCUCUUCAACAAUGAGAGGAUCCAAUUCAAUUCCAAUUGGUCUGUAAUGAAGAGAACCGAUUACACUCAGUGAAAGAACACUGGGAAAUGAGUGUGGACCGCAACAUAGCAUUUGCAUUCUUUCUGUUGUUUGCUUACAUUUUUGUUUUUCUUCCCAGGUUUUUUUUACUUUCUAAACCCGAUUUUUCUUACGCAACAAGAUAACCGUAUAAAUGUGUAUACAUAUAUUGCAUUUAACAUAUGCUUUAACAUGUUUAACAUGUAUGAGACUGCCUGCCAUCUAGGGGAAGGGGUGGGGGGAAGGAGGGGAAAACUUGGAACAGAAGGUUUUGCAGUUGUCAAUGCUGAAAAAUU
rnacentral:lncRNA from 1 species